GCCUCCCUCCGAGCGCAGGACGCUCCGACGCCCGCUUGCCCGCAGGCCACCGCAGUGACUGAAAGUGGCAACUCCCUCUGGACUGUGUGAGGGCCAGGGGUGAGAGGGUGACAGCAGGAAGAGGCCACCACCCAAGGACAGCUCUGAGCCGGAAUCCUGGAGGAAACGUUAUUAAUAAACAUCUUCUGGACAUUUGGCAGCCCGU
rnacentral:lncRNA from 1 species